rnacentral:misc_RNA from 1 species
AUAUCUCAACCACACCGUGAGGUGUGGCUUGGAUUUGGGGGUUACAGGCCUCUAGUCUGCUCCCCUGAAAUGCAUGAGUGGUAACGACCUCUCCAUCAAGAUGUGAUACAUAUCUGCAUCUGGUCGAGGGUUCUGCUGCUAUAUAAGAGUUGGAUUUGAUAA